rnacentral:rRNA from 1 species
GAUGAACGCUAGCGGCAGGCUUAAUACAUGCAAGUCGAGGGGCAGCAUGAUUGUAGCAAUACAAUUGAUGGCGACCGGCAAACGGGUGCGGAACACGUACACAACCUCCCAAUAAGUGGGGAAUAGCCCAGAGAAAUUUGGAUUAAUACCCCGUAACAUAACGAUGUGGCAUCACAUUGUUAUUAUAGAUUUUUCGCUUAUUGAUGGGUGUGCGGCUGAUUAGAUAGUUGGCGGGUAAACGGCCCACCAAGUCUACGAUCAGUAGCUGAUGUGAGAGAAUAAUCAGCCACACGUGCACUGAGACACGGGCCCGACUCCUACGGGAGGCAGCAGUAAGGAAUAUUGGACAAUGGACGCAAGUCUGAUCCAGCCAUGCCGCGUGAAGGAUUAAGGUCCUCUGGAUUGUAAACUUCUUUUAUAAGGGACGAAAAAAGGCUUUUCUAAGUCGUCUGACGGUACCUUAUGAAUAAGCACCGGCUAACACCGUGCCAGCAGCCGCAGUAACAC